GGCCUUUGAUGGAUACAAAUUUGUCCGUACCAUCUGAAGAUUUUCUUAAUCUUUUGAUGUAUCAUACAUAUUAAUUCUGAGGCCU